rnacentral:rRNA from 1 species
CGAACGGUAACUUUUGGUGCUUGCACCGAAAGACGAGUGGCGAACGGGUGCGUAACGCGUAUGCAAUCUGCCUUUUACUAGGGUAUAGCCCAGAGAAAUUUGGAUUAAUCCCCUAUAAUAUCAUUUAAUCGCAUGAUUUUAUGAUUAAAGCUUCGGCGGUAAAAGAUGAGCAUGCGUCCUAUUAGUUAGUAGGUGAGGUAACGGCUCACCUAGACUCCGAUAGGUAGGGGUCCUGAGAGGGAGAUCCCCCACACUGGUACUGAGACACGGACCAGACUCCUACGGGAGGCAGCAGUGAGGAAUAUUGGACAAUGGACGAAAGUCUGAUCCAGCUAUGCCGCGUGCAGGAUGACGGCCCUAUGGGUUGUAAACUGCUUUUAUACAGGAAGAAAAACUCCGACGUGUCGGAACUUGACGGUACUGUAAGAAUAAGGAUCGGCUAACUCCGUGCCAGCAGCCGCGGUAAUACGGAGGAUCCAAGCGUUAUCCGGAAUCAUUGGGUUUAAAGGGUCCGUAGGCGGUUUUUUAAGUCAGAGGUGAAAUCCUGCAGCUCAACUGUAGAAUUGCCUUGAUACUGAAAGACUUGAGUUAUUGUGAAGUGGUUAGAAUGUGUGGUGUAGCGGUGAAAUGCAUUGAUAUCAUACAGAAUACCAAUUGCGAAGGCAGAUCACUAACAAUAUACUGACGCUCAGGGACGAAAGCGUGGGUAGCGAACAGGAUUAGAUACCCUGGUAGUCCACGCCGUAAACGAUGGAUACUAGCUGUAUGUCUACUUCAGGUAGAUGUGUGGCUAAGCGAAAGUGAUAAGUAUCCCACCUGGGGAGUACGAUCGCAAGAUUGAAACUCAAAGGAAUUGACGGGGGCCCGCACAAGCGGUGGAGCAUGUGGUUUAAUUCGAUGAUACGCGAGGAACCUUACCAGGGCUUAAAUGUAACGGGACAGAUCUAGAGAUAGAUCCU